rnacentral:rRNA from 1 species
AACGAACGCUGGCGGCAUGCCUAACACAUGCAAGUCGAACGAUGCCUUCGGGCAUAGUGGCGCACGGGUGAGUAACGCGUGGGAACCUGCCCUGUGGUACGGAAUAACUCCGGUAAACUGGAGCUAAUACCGGAUGUGUCCCCUGGGACAAAGAUUUAUCGCCACGGGAUGGGCCCGCGUAGGAUUAGCUUGGUGGGGGGGUAACGGCCUACCAAGGCUACGAUCCUUAGCUGGUCUGAGAGGAUGAUCAGCCACACUGGGACUGAGACACGGCCCAGACUACUACGGGAGGCAGCAGUGGGGAAUAUUGGACAAUGGGCGCAAGCCUGAUCCAGCAAUGCCGCGUGAGUGAUGAAGGCCUUCGGGUUGUAAAGCUCUUUCGCACGCGACGAUGAUGACGGUAGCGUGAGAAGAAGCCCCGGCUAACUUCGUG